rnacentral:lncRNA from 1 species
UCAUCCAACUUAAUUAUGCAUCCAAAUCAACCUAAUUUCACCCAAAUCUUUAUUUAUUUGUCAUUGACAAUUCUUGGCCACAAUUUAACUCAGUAAAUGGAGUCCAAAUAACACGUCGGAUUUGCUUAAAAACUUAGUUCAAUUGAGAUGUACAAUUCAAAACCUGUGAGUUGCAAUGUCCUAACUGAUGAUUUCGAGCUCCUUCUGAUAAUUCGUUAUUGAACUUCGAAUUGUUGUCAAUCUCUGGUGAUGAAAAUCUUCGAAACGAAGCUCCGGAGAACGCUUGUGAUUAGGCGGGAGCAGAAGAUGGUUGACUUCAAAGGAUCCUAUAGUAUGAAUUUGCCCUCGUAAUUUUAGUUCUUUUUCCUACAUUCUAAACUUCUAAGUGACGAACAACAAUCUCCAGCCACAAAAACAAGUUCAAGCCAAAAUCACCCUUUCCUAAAAUACCACCACAGCUAAGACUUGAAUCACCCUGAGCUCUGGUGAUGGGAGAUAUUUAGAAAGAUGCUUCAAAACUUGUCGCGCUGCAAAUCUGUAUCUUUGCGGGAGCAGACGACUUCUGGUGAAUCUGGACAGCGAGCAGCUACCUCCAAGCCCGCGACCUGAACCAACCGCAAUACACACUGCGACCCCAACCUCAACAGCCGCACGACACCGCUGCACUCCUCACCGCACCACGGCAACGAAAAGAAAACCUCCAAGCUCGGCUUUAGCCGCAACAGCUCCGCCACCGACGAAAACCGCAAAGCUCGACCAAGACCAGAAUUAAGGGAAUCUUGAGUCAAGAAACCAAAGACAAUAACGCGAUCUACGACAACCACGGGACAAAGACAGAGAGCCGUUGAAGAUCCGCAGCAAGAAAAAGAUCAACAACAAAAAGAGGCGGAACCAACCCACUCCGCAAGAAGAACCACAAUAGUGGUCAGCAACCAAAGGAGCAUAAACAACAAUUGGACAUUGAGACAACACUUGAGACGAACAGCUAGAGAGGCGCUCAACACUAAUCAAACAAAAUUGAACCAAGAUUUUGAAGGCAAGGCAAGUUCCACUGCCACUUCCUCAACUUACGAUCACGCAAAAUUAAAUUGCAAGAAAUUACACUAAGUGAACCACGACCUCCGGUGGUUUAACAGUGGCGCAGUAGCGACAAUAGAGCACUGAAGGAAAAAACAGAAUCCAACAAUAGUGGGAGAAUAACAUGCACAACACCAAUAAAGGAAACAAAGGCAAGAGCCAAAUCAAGUCGACCACCAGCCGAGGUCGACGGCGCUACACCGUAGGACUGAACUUCCCAGUAUCCAAGGCGAAAAAAAAUUGCAAUUCAGCAACUAGAAAAUCAGGACCAACCGUAAGGGCUAAUACUGUGGUUGUUCUCGACAGCUACUCACUACGACCAAAACAAUCGCUACUUACGGAACACCCACACAGCCGCUCUAGGCCCGAAGUCAAGCUGAGGUUGGGCUCUGCAACACCAAGACGAUUGUCUCCCACCGAAGGAACCACAACGCUGGGGUGCAUAACCUGGAGACUGGAUCCUUUGCCGCUGCACUGCCGUUGAAGGUGUAAGUACAUAAACUAGAGCUUCACAAAAGCGAAGACCCACCCAAACUCCCCCGCCGCAGAAAACAAAGACCAGAAGAAGAUCGCAGCAGUGACCCUUAAUGGAUCUUCCGCCUUCGAGGACACUUGGAUCAGCAACUGGAAUAGUGGCUCGUAGAACCACUAGAGAAACCAAGAUUCGACGAUGACGACCACCUUGCUUACAAGAACCCCCAUCAAGAGUUGGCGACGCAGCUCGACUUAAGCAACCACCGACGACACUAUCCAGACAAAAAAAUAAGGCACAGAGACCAAAACCGCCUGGUGGACGCCACUCCAGCACGAAGCAUCACCAACAACACCAAUUGGGGCGCUCUUCCCACCGCCGUAGAGCCGAGUAAAAAUGAGAACAACGUGGACCGCGCUGAAGAAAAACAAAAAAGGAAAGCCACACAAUGUGGCAUAUGUGCGACACUGUUGCACCGCAGACGCACAAAUGGAGAAUAACACAAGACUAGCGUCGACGCACCACCGUAGCGGCCGACAGAUUCAAUGAGUAGACACCGCAAAUCGCCUACACCACUGCCAACCGGAUUAAGGAACAGGAGUUGCUGUGAGAACGUAGCUGCCGGCACACAAUACAAACCCCUUUCGCCGCUGCUACACAACCGAGGAACUUAGGACCGCCACACACUGCAGCCUACGGAGCCCCCACUAACCGAGCAUGAGAAAAAAUUGAGAGCCGUUGAGGCAGCCGGACCCCUCCUGGACUGGCCCUUCCUCAAAGGAAACGGAUUUGCCUGCUUUCGACGGUUCUCGAUGCUUACAUUGGAUGCAAUGUGGCUGGUAAGUAAUCUCUGUUAUACUAAGAUUCAUGACUAAGUGCGGGCUGA